rnacentral:rRNA from 1 species
GACGAACGCUGGCGGCGUGCCUAACACAUGCAAGUCGAGCGGGGAGGAGGAAGCUUGCUUCCGAAUCCUAGCGGCGGACGGGUGAGUAACGCGUGAGCAAUCUGCCUCUUACAGGGGGAUAACGCAUCGAAAGAUGUGCUAAUACCGCGUAAGACCACAGCACCGCAUGGUGCAGGGGUCAAAGGAGCAAUCCGGUAAGAGAUGAGCUCGCGUCCGAUUAGCUAGUUGGCGGGAUAACAGCCCACCAAGGCGACGAUCGGUAGCCGACCUGAGAGGGUGAUCGGCCACAUUGGAACUGAGAUACGGUCCAG